rnacentral:rRNA from 1 species
GAUGAACGCUGGCGGCGUGCCUAAUACAUGCAAGUCGAGCGGAGCGGGGACGGGUGAGUAACGCGUGGGGAACCGCCGAUAAGACUGGGAUAACUUUGGGAACCCGGGGCUAACCCGAAAACUUAUAGAUGGAUCCGGGUUGGAUUAGCUAGUUAGUAAGGUAACGGCUUACCAAGGCAACGAUGCAUGGCCGACCUGAGAGGGUGAUCGGCCACACUGGAACUGAGACACGGUCCAGACUCCGACGGGAGGCAGCAGUAGGGAAUCUUGCGCAAUGGGCGAAAGCCUGACGGAGCAACGCCGCGUGAGUGAAGAAGGUCUUCGGAUCGUAAAACACUUUCAUUAGGGAAGCGGUACCUACUCAGAAAGCAACGGCUAACUCCGUGCCAGCCGCCGCGGUAAUUC